ensembl:lncRNA
GGUAUUGAAGGAUUGUCAAUGCAUCGGCCUUUUUCUGCUCCAGCCUUUUAUUCCACUAAAGCCUGUGCGUACUCCCCUCUCCUGUCCUCUCCCCUUGUUCAGAACCGUGUGGAGAUAAAUGACGUGGAGCCAGAUGUCUUCAAAGAGAUGACGUGCUUCAUCUACACAGGCGAGGCCCCCAACCUGGACAAGAUGGCCUGCUGGCUGCAGCUGACAAGGACUGUUAUGCUUAAAAACAACUCAAAAAGAAUUGGAAGAAGACUACACACAGAAGUUUCUGGACGGAGGGUAAAAACGUGUCAUCGCCCCGGGGUCUAAAUGUUCGUCCAGAUGAUGUUCCAUCCUGCCAAGAACAAAAUUCAAAAGGAAGCAAGCUUGCAACCUUUGGGAUGAAUUAUUAUCGGAUUCCUAAAACGCACACCAUCAUUCACCUACAGCAGACCUGGUGAGCUCCACUCGAUAACCAGUAGAGUGAGAGAGACGGCAGACGUACACUUUUAAUCUCUUUCUCCUUGUCUCCUCUUCCUGCGUGCUGCAUCAAACUCUUUGAUGGGUGUAUAAUUACUGUGAACAUUUUUGGAAGCCGUGAAGGGGAUGUUUCUGUCAUUUGUUACUGAGAUUCACUGACAUCUUUGUGUUUGUGCAGUUAGAGAGGGGUAGCACAUUAAACUACUGUACAAGCAUGGGUGUCUUUAUAAAAAUCACUCUCUUCUAGUUAGCCUGCAACAUGCUGCAGGAUUAUACUGGCGUUUGCAUACAUUCAAUUCUGGUAUGGUCACUGGCAGCAUAACUUCUC